rnacentral:ncRNA from 1 species
ACACAGGUUUGGUCCCAGCCUUUCUAUUAGUUGUUAGUAAGAUUACACAUGCAAGUAUCCGCACCCCAGUGAAAAUGCCCUUUAAAUCAUACCCAUGACAAGAAGGAGCAGGUAUCAAGCACGCACUAACGUAGCUCACAACGCCUUGCUUAGCCACACCCCCACGGGAAACAGCAGUGAUAAAAAUUAGGCCAUAAACGAAAGUUUGACCAAAUUAUACUUACUUAGGGUUGGUAAAUUUCGUGCCAGCCACCGCGGUCAUACGAUUAACCCAAAUUAAUAGAUUAACGGCGUAAAGCGUGUUUAAGAGAGACUAUAAAAUAAAGCCAAACUUUAGCUAAUCUGUAAAAAGUCUUAGCUAAUGUAAGAACCAUAACGAAAGUAGCUUUAACAUGCUGAACACACGAUAGCUAAGACUCAAACUGGGAUUAGAUACCCCACUAUGCUUAGCCAUAAACCUAAAAAAUUUAUAAAACAAACAAAAUUAUUCGCCAGAGUACUACUAGCUAAAGCCUGAAACUCAAAGGACUUGGCGGUGCUUUAUAUCCCUCUAGAGGAGCCUGUUCUGUAAUCGAUAAACCCCGAUAAACCUCACCAACACUUGCCAACUCAGCCUAUAUACCGCCAUCUUCAGCAAACCCUAAAAAGGUAUAAAAGUAAGCACAAUUAUAUUAAUAUAAAAACGUUAGGUCAAGGUGUAGCUAAUGUGUUGGGAAGUAAUGGGCUACAUUGCCUUAAUAAAGGCUAAAUAUUUAUACGAAAAUCUUUGUGAAAUCAAGGAUUAAAGGUGGAUUUAGCAGUAAACUAAAAAUAGAGUGUUUAGUUGAAAGAGGCCAUGAAGCACGCACACACCGCCCGUCACCCUCCUCAAAUAACCACAGACAACAAUUAAUUUUAUUUACCCUGUCAAAUUUACUAGAGGAGACAAGUCGUAACAAGGUAAGCGUACUGGAAAGUGCGCUUGGAAAAUU